UCUGUGCAGUCUGCGACAUGAUAGACCCUUCACUGUCUCGAUGGCUAAUGCUGGGCCAAACACCAAUGGCUCUCAAUUCUUCAUAACAACUGUUGCCACUCCAUGGUUGGACAAUAAGCACACAGUUUUUGGCAGAGUGGUGAAAGGAAUGGAUGUUGUACAGGCUAUAGAGAAAGUGAAGACCGACAAAGGUGACAAGCCAUACCAGGAUGUGAAAAUAUUGAAUGUGACUGUUCCAAAGUCUUAAAUGGGUUCUUGUUGCGGCUGUGCUCCAGUAUUGGAUGGUUUACUUCUACUUAUUCUGGAGCAUUGGAAGGAUUACUACGACUUAUGCUGGAAAGUAUCGGCAAUCCUCGUUGGCCCUGGAUCUGACAUGUAUCCUGUGUAAUCAAUGACUUCUGGUACUCUCCACAAACCCACUAUACAACAUAUAUUUCCAGUUUUGAGAAACUGCUCCUUUUUUUAUUAUUAUUAUUAUUAUUAUAUCAAAUCGUGCCUUUGGGAAGUAGAACUUGACUUGCUUCACUCAAGUUGAAAAGGAUAUUAGCGACUGGCAGUUGUUGGCGGCUAAUCCGGUAUUAGCUCAUUGGCAGGGAGUGUACGAUUUUUGCUGAUACAGUGUAUUCCAUUCCAGAUUCAUUAGUGGGACAGAGCGGUACGAGCUUUUUUUCAAUGUUCUUGUAGGGGUUAUGGCUGGUAAUUUAUAGAGUUGAUAGCUAGGCUUGCAAUAUCAACAGAUCGCAUCAAUGGUAACGUUGCCUCUCAACUGUGUUGUAGUCAAGACCAGGCCUGUACACUGAAUUGUAGGGGUAAAGUUUUUUUCUUUCCUUAAUUAUUGUAAAAGACCAUUCCAUUUCAUGUGUUAAAGUUUUAAGCAAGUGAUACACUUUCCCUUUUCA